rnacentral:rRNA from 1 species
UUAAAGAGUUCUAUAACUCCCAAACCCAUGUGAACAUACCUAACGUUGCCUCGGCAGGUCGCACCUACCUUGUAGCACCUUACCCUGUAAGGCCUACCCGGGAGGUGCGGGUAAGCCUGCCGGCGGCCCACCAAACUCUGUUUGAUAUUGAAUUCUGAACCUAUAACUAAAUAAGUUAAAACUUUCAACAACGGAUCUCUUGGUUCUGGCAUCGAUGAAGAACGCAGCGAAAUGCGAUAAGUAAUGUGAAUUGCAGAAUUCAGUGAAUCAUCGAAUCUUUGAACGCAUAUUGCGCCCAUUAGUAUUCUAGUGGGCAGGACCGUUCGAGCGUCAUUUCAACCCUUAAGCCUUCGUUGCUUAGUGUUGGGAGCCUACGGCAACGUAGCUCCUCAAAGUUAGUGGCGGAGUUGGUUCACACUCUAGACGUAGUAAUUUUUUAUCUCGCCUAUUAGUUGAACUAAUACCCUGCCGUAAAACCCCCAAUUUAUCAAGGUUGACCUCGAAUCGGUUCAGACAAACUCGCUAAAUUGAAGCAUCUUAGUCAGCGAAGGAAAAGAAACCAACAGGGAUUGCCCUAGUAACGGCGAGUGAAGCGGCAACAGCUCAAAUUUGAAAUCUGGCCCUCGGGUC